rnacentral:rRNA from 1 species
UGGGGAAUUUUGGACAACGGGCGAAAGCCUGAUCCAGCAAUGCCGCGUGUGUGAAGAAGGCCUUCGGGUUGUAAAGCACUUUUGUCCGGAAAGAAAUCCUUGGCUCUAAUACAGUCGGGGGAUGACGGUACCGGAAGAAUAAGCACCGGCUAACUACGUGCCAGCAGCCGCGGUAAUACGUAGGGUGCAAGCGUUAAUCGGAAUUACUGGGCGUAAAGCGUGCGCAGGCGGUUUGCUAAGACCGAUGUGAAAUCCCCGGGCUCAACCUGGGAACUGCAUUGGUGACUGGCAGGCUAGAGUAUGGCAGAGGGGGGUAGAAUUCCACGUGUAGCAGUGAAAUGCGUAGAGAUGUGGAGGAAUACCGAUGGCGAAGGCAGCCCCCUGGGCCAAUACUGACGCUCAUGCACGAAAGCGUGGGGAGCAAACAGGAUUAGAUACCCUGGUAGUCCACGCCCUAAACGAUGUCAACUAGUUGUUGGGGAUUCAUUUCCUUAGUAACGUAGCUAACGCGUGAAGUUGACCGCCUGGGGAGUACGGUCGCAAGAUUAAAACUCAAAGGAAUUGACGGGGUCAUAGCUGUUUCCU